CGGCUACAUUACGUUGAAACAUCGGUUCCCGUACGAUCAACGAAGUUAAGCAAUGAGCCUGGUCAGUACCUAUAUGGGUGACCAUUUGGGAAUAACAGGUGAUGUA